UAGUAGAUCUUUACGUACACCCUAAUCCUAAAUAUGCGAAUUCAGCAUGUACGCCUUUAGGGGUCGCACUCGACUCCCAUUGGUUAUCGAGUAUGGACUUCAUACAUACAUAUUGCAGAAUUUGCUAGUGUCAGCACUUGGCUGUCACAAGAGAUCUGCCUGUAGACCACACUAAGAUCAGUCAUAAGUCAGGAAUAGAUCUGGAUUGUACACUUGCUGAAUAAAAACCAAAUAAAGAUAAAAUGACCGAUUGCGUUUUGAAACUUAAUUAACUACAUCAGAAGUAUUGGAAAUCUAAUUAACUACACUACAGCGUAGGGCCGAGAUAUCAUAGACACGAAUGUUACGUUAAACUUUAAUAUCUUAAAACCCUAUUGUUGGUGCUUUGUUCUUACUGUGAUCUCGGGGCAAUUGGAUUGCCCGCGAAGAAGAAGGCUGAACCAAGGAAAAACAGACUUGGAAAUGAAAACAACUCGAUACGGACUGUAUCGGCAUCAAAUUCUUUGAGCUAGCUCGACUAUCCACUCCUAUCAGUAAAUCGCUUAGUGGCUAUUUAACCGUCUACAUACGUUAGUUGGGCAUGUUAGUAAUAUAUUUGUAGUUUCUCGAAAUCACUAAGUUCUACCAACACCGAAAAAUAAAUAUAUGGGAAACACAGAAAUCAGGAUGUAUAUUACUCGGUUAGCUACUGUAAAUAUCGGGUAUGAAUGUGUACCAAAACGAAAAGGUCAAAGGAAAUCGUUGAAUCAGUGACUAGAAAAGGGUACAUAUACAUAAAUAUAUUGAAUUGCUGGGUACAUUAUAUACAGGAUAAUCAACUGGGUUCCAUUGACGACACUUACC